rnacentral:lncRNA from 1 species
CGCCCGGCCUGAUGUCUGUCUCUUGAUAAGGGUCUGGGCUGCAGAAGUGGUCCGUUAGUCAGAGCAUUCAAUGGCUCCUUCAGAGUUAUACAUUUCAUGGUAUAACAAAAUUAGCUGGGCACAACAGUUACCAUCUCUCCUGGCCUUCCUCAUCUCUCUAGGUAUCCUUUUUUUCAUAGGAUGCCUACAUUUGAACACCUAGCCAAAUUUUUAGCCGGUUAGAUUCCGAGGGAACCUCAGCCUUCAUUUCAGGCAAACAAGCAAAUUUCAAGCCUCAUUUUAGGCCUCAGCUCCCCCAAAGGGUCCUUCCAGCAUCUUAGCAGGAGGUCCUGUUCUACCACCAGGCUGUGACCCCCGGUCAGAACAGGGACAGAAUCUGCAAGCUUGAGAUCAUCAGAAAGGCUUUCCCAGAGCUCAGGGGCUCCUGGAGGUCAGGGUACUACUAGGAAGAGAAGAACCAGCACCUGUCUGCCUUCAGUCUCAAACC